UGGGGAAUAUUGGGCAAUGGGCGAAAGCCUGACCCAGCGACGCCGCGUGGGUGAUGAAGGCCUUCGGGUCGUAAAGCCCUGUCAGAAGGAAAGAACGAUCUUAUGGUGAAUACCCAUGAGAUGUGACGGUACCUUCGAAGGAAGCACCGGCCAAUUCCGUGCCAGCAGCCGCGGUAAGACGGAAGGUGCAAGCGUUGCUCGGAAUCACUGGGCGUAAAGGGUGCGUAGGCGGCUUCUUAAGUCUGGUGUGAAAGCCCAGGGCUCAGCUGUGAGGCUGCCUUCUAGACUGCCAGGCUUGAGCACAGUAGAGGCGAGUGGAAUUCCCGGUGUAGCGGUGGAAUGCGUAGAGAUCGGGAAGAACAUCGGUGGCGAAGGCGGCUCGCUGGGCUGUUGCUGACGCUGAGGCGCGAAAGCGUGGGGAGCAAACAGGAUUAGAUACCCCCGUAGUCCCUGAGCGGGCUGGCAAGGCGCAU
rnacentral:rRNA from 1 species